rnacentral:rRNA from 1 species
UAUGUGAUCGUCUCUCGCAUAUCAAUAAGCGGAGGAAAAGAAACUAACAAGGAUUCCCCUGGUAACGGCGAGUGAAGCGGGAAGAGCUCAAAUUUGAAAUCUUAAAGGGUUUCCCUUUACGAAUUGUAGUUUAAAGAAGUGUUUUCUGUUGAGGUUUUGGUAAAAGUUCUUUGGAAUAGGACAUCAUAGAGGGUGAGAAUCCCGUAUUUGACCUUUACUUUCAACUUUGUGAUACACUUUCAAAGAGUCGGAUUGUUUGGGAAUGCAGUCCAAAAUGGGUGGUAAAUUUCAUCUAAAGCUAAAUAUUGGCGAGAGACCGAUAGCGAACAAGUACCGUGAGGGAAAGAUGAAAAGAACUUUGAAAAGAGAGUUAAACAGUACGUGAAAUUGUCAAAAGGGAAGCGUUUGACACCAGUGUUGUUUUUCUGAAAAUCAAUUAAAGAACUGUUUAUGCUAAGUUGUUUAGACUUUAUCAGCUAUCUGCUUAGUUUUGAGCUUUUCUUUAAUGCACUUUUCAGUUAACAAGUCAACAUCAAUUUCUUUUGCUGUAAAAAAGCUUGAGGAAGGUGGCUUGAGAUUCGUCUUAAGUGUUUAUAGCCUCUUGCCUAUGCAGUCGGAGAGAUUGAGGUCUGCAGCGUAGAUCCUUCGGGGCUAAAUGCAUUUGUGCUAAGUUAUAACACUUUAUAGACAACUUGUUGACUAUGAUUUGUCUUGUAGCUUACUCGCUUAUGUUACUUUUACCUACGCUUAGGAUGUUGAAGUCAUCGUAUCGCGC